GGGGAUUUAGCUCAGUGGUAGAGCGCUUGCCUAGAAAGCAGAAGGUCCUCAGCUCUGGAAAAAAUAAAAAGAAAUGAGGUGGGUUACCUCAAGUGUGACAAUCCACU
rnacentral:tRNA from 1 species